GGGGGCGUUUAUGGAUUCGACGGGGAUAGUUCGAGCAUGGGUUGCGGGUAGUGGGGAGCGUCCGCUUCAUCAACGCUAAAGCCUAUUAAACGGCAAACAACAACAACAACUCGCUUUCGCAGCUUAAUAACCUGUGACGCGGCUUCUACCUUGCAUCGCCCAUGUGCCAGGCUAGGGGCUAACCUUUAGUGGGAUACGCCGAUCGGUCUCCGCCUGGGGUCGUUCGGAAGAAGAUAAUCAGGCUGACCCAACACGUAGUCGGUUACGGGACGACGUUCGGGUGACAUCAAUACCGUGACUACACCCGUAGAAGCCUGUGUGGCGUUGUCUUCGGACAGGGGUUCAAAUCCCCUCGCCUCCACCA
rnacentral:tmRNA from 1 species